UACGAAGGGGGCUAGCGUUGCUCGGAAUCACUGGGCGUAAAGCGCACGUAGGCGGACUCUUAAGUCGGUGGUGAAAUCCUGGAGCUCAACUCCAGAACUGCCUUCGAUACUGGGAGUCUCGAGUCCGGGAGAGGUGAGUGGAACUGCGAGUGUAGAGGUGAAAUUCGUAGAUACUCGCAAGAACACCAGUGGCGAAGGCGGCUCACUGGCCCGGUACUGACGCUGAGGUGCGAAAGCGUGGGGAGCAAACAGG
rnacentral:rRNA from 1 species